AGAGUUUGAUCCUGGCUCAGGAUGAACGCUAGCGGCAGGCUUAAYACAUGCAAGUCGAGGGGCAGCGGGUGUAGCAAUACAUGCCGGCGACCGGCGCACGGGUGCGUAACACGUAUGCAACCUACCUWWAACUGGRGMAUAGCCCCGAGAAAUCGGGAUUAAUACYCCAUAACAUUGCGGAAUGGCAUCAUUCUGCAAUUAAAGCUCAGGCGGUUWWAGAUGGRCAUGCGCGGUAUUAGUUWGUUGGUGAGGUAACGGCUCACCAAGACUWCGAUACCUAGGGGUUCUGAGAGGAUUAACCCCCACACUGGUACUGAGACACGGACCAGACUCCUACGGGAGGCAGCAGURAGGAAUAUUGGUCAAUGGACGCAAGUCUGAACCAGCCAUGCCGCGUGAAGGAUGACGGCCCUAYGGGUUGUAAACUUCUUUUGURCGGGAAAAAACCCCWGAUCGUGUAUCWGGGCUGAUGGUACCGYAAGAAUAAGCAUCGGCUAACUCCGUGCCAGCAGCCGCGGUAAUACGGAGGAUGCAAGCGUUAUCCGGAUUYAUUGGGUUUAAAGGGUGCGUAGGCGGGAUGAUAAGUCAGUGGUGAAAUCCWACAGCUUAACUGUWGAACUGCCAUUGAUACUGUCAACCUUGAGUACAUUUGAAGUGGGCGGAAUGUGUGGUGUAGCGGUGAAAUGCUUAGAUAUCACACAGAACACCGAUAGCGAAGGCAGCUCACUAAACUGUAACUGACGCUGAGGCACGAAAGCGUGGGGAGCAAACAGGAUUAGAUACCCUGGUAGUCC
rnacentral:rRNA from 1 species